GGUUGAUAGGUCAGAGGUGUAAGCAUGGUAACAUGUUCAGCUGACUGAUACUAAUAGGUCGAGGGCUUGACCAAUAA
rnacentral:rRNA from 1 species